UUUAUAAGUGUUAUGUCUUCUUAGUGGAGUGUCCCCUACUAUUAUUGUAUUGUUGUUGAUGUCUUCUUUUAGUUCUAUUAAGAGUUGCUUUACAAAUUUUGGUGCUCCUGUGUUGGGUGCGUAUAUAUUUAUAAGUGUUAUGUCUUCUUGGUGGAGAGUCCCUUUUAUCAUUAUAUACUGUCCCUCUUUAUCUUUCUUUAUCUGUUUUGCUUUGAAAUCUACCUUGUCUGAUAUUAGUAUAGCGACACCUGCUUUCUUUUGUUCAUUAUUAGCUUGGAGUAUUGUUCUCCAUCCCUUCACUCUGAGUCUGUGUUUGUCUUUGGGGCUGAGGUGUGUUUCCUGGAGGCAGCAUAUUGUUGGAUCUUGUUCUUUGAUCCAUCCUGCCACUCUGAGUCUUUUGAUUGGGGACUUCAAUCCAUUUACAUUUAGAGUGAUUAUUGAGAUGUGGGGGCCUACCACUACCAUUUUGUGUCUUGUUUUCCAGUUUUCUUCAGUUUCCUUUGUUUCUCGUCCCAUGGUUUAAUCUGUUCUGAUGUAGAGCUGCUACUCUCUGUUGUUGUCCUUCUACUUAUCUCCUCUGCUCUUGGUUUUGUAGCCCCUUUCCUUUUUUGGAUUUUUCAGGAAUGAGGGUUUUCCUGAGGAUUUCCUGAAGAGGAGGUUUUGUGGCAAUGAACUCCCUUAAUUUUUGUUUAUCUGGGAAAGUUUUUAUUUCUCUAUCGUAUUUGAAGGAUAUUUUCGCUGGGUAGAGAAUUCUCGGCUGUAGAUUUUUGUCCUUCAGAUUUUUGAAUAUAUCAUUCCACUCUCUUCUAGCCUGUAAAGUUUCUGCUGAGAAAUCUGCUGAUAGCCUGAUGGGGGUUCCUUUGUAGGUUAGUUUCUUUUGCCUGGCUGUCCUUAAUAUUUUCUCCUUGUCGUUGACUUUUGCUAGCUUCACUACUAUAUGCCGUGGAGUUGGUCUUCUUGCAUUGAUAAAGUUUGGAGAUCUAUUGGCUUCUGUCACCUGAAGAUCCAUCUCCCUCACCAGAUUUGGGAAGUUCUCAGCCAUUAUUUCUUUGAAUAGGCUUUCUGCCCCUUUCUCCUUCUCUUCUCCCUCUGGUAUACCUAUAAUCCUUACGUUGCAUCUCCUAAUUGUGUCUGAUAAUUCUCGGAGAGUUUCAUCAUUUCUUUUUAACUUUGAUUCAUCGUUUUUC
rnacentral:lncRNA from 1 species